rnacentral:rRNA from 1 species
UGGGGAAUCUUGGACAAUGGGGGAGACCCUGAUCCAGCCAUGCCGCGUGAGCGAAGAAGGCCUUAGGGUUGUAAAGCUCUUUCGCCGGGGAAGAUAAUGACGGUACCCGGUAAAGAAGUCCCGGCUAACUCCGUGCCAGCAGCCGCGGUAAUACGGAGGGGACUAGCGUUGUUCGGAAUUACUGGGCGUAAAGCGCGCGUAGGCGGAUAUUUAAGUCAGGGGUGAAAUCCCGGGGCUCAACCCCGGAACUGCCCUUGAUACUGGAUGUCUGGAGUUCGAGAGAGGUGAGUGGAAUUCCGAGUGUAGAGGUGAAAUUCGUAGAUAUUCGGAGGAACACCAGUGGCGAAGGCGGCUCACUGGCUCGAUACUGACGCUGAGGUGCGAAAGUGUGGGGAGCAAACAGGAUUAGAUACCCGUGUAGUCC